AUGUUCGGUGAGGCAAAGGCCGCAGCACGGCGAGGCACUUGGUUCACAGCCCAGAUAGCAGCGCUGCUCCGAUGGAAAUCCAGCCUGACAAGCAUCAGCAGCGGUUCAGCCUUGAGCACCUGGAGCCCCGGCGUCCACCCCUGCAACUGGACGGGCAUCACCUGCCGCCGUGCAGCUCAAGGCCCGGCCAUCACUGGGAUCUCCCUCCCAGGAGCUGGCCUUGCCGGGCGGCUGGACGUGCUCAACUUGCAGCCCCUGUCCUUGCUCACCAGCCUUGACAUCAGCAACAACUUCCACCUCUCAGGACGGAUUCCACCGACCGUCGGCAUGCUCCCCAUGCUUUCCAUGCUCAACUUCUCCGGUAACCAGCUCACCGGAGGCAUACCUCCGGCCAUCGGUGAGCUGGGGAGCCUCACCGUGAUGGACCUCUCCUUCAAUGGCCUCACAGGUACCAUUCCUGCAAACAUUGGCAGGCUUCAGUCCUUGCAAAGUCUCCGGUUAUACCAUAACAACUUAACUGGAAUUAUUCCUCCUUCCCUCACCAACCUAACAUUGCUCAGAGAUUUAAGUCUGUUCACAAACCAUCUUACUGGUUCAAUCCCCGUAGAGCUCGGGAAACUCGCUGCUUUGGAAGAGCUAGAUUUGGCUGAUAACUAUCUGACCGGUACUAUUCCGAGCAGCAUUGGAAACCUUACUAAACUAGGCUACUUAGGACUGACCCAAAACUUGCUUAUUGGUCCCAUUCCUCACGAGAUGACACACCUUAUUAAUCUUACCGUGCUCAUGAUAUCACACAAUCAAUUCACGUCCACAAUCCCUGCAGCAAUCACAAACUUAACCAAGUUGCAACUGCUAGGAGCCAGCAGGAGCAACUUAAGUGGCCACCUUCCUGAACAAAUAGGAUCACUCACUGAUCUUCGUGAGGUCUACCUUUUCGGUAAUAAACUUACCGGGAGCAUUCCUUUGAGUCUCGGAAAUUUGACAAUGCUCACAUAUCUGUACCUGUACGAGAACAACUUGUCUGGGUCCAUUCCUUAUGUGCUAGGGAAUCUUGCAAACCUUCAGGAGCUUAGCCUCUCCUCCAAUGCUUUAGAUGGUGAUCUGCCAUCUAGCAUGGGAAACAUGACUUCCCUCACCUCCCUUCGCCUUCAAAACAAUAGCUUUUCUGGCACAAUCCCAGCUGAGCUAGGCAAUCUAGGGAAUUUAGUGAAUCUUUACCUCUACUUCAACAAGUUCUCUGGCUCGGUCCCUCCAAGCUUUGGAAACUUCAGGGAAAUGACAGAUUUGAGGCUGUCAGGCAAUAGACUGUCUGGACCUUUGCCUCACACAUUUUCAAACCUCACCAAUUUAGUGGACAUUGAGUUGAGUUACAACAAUCUCAGCGGACACGUGCCUGACUUAUGCCAGGGCAAAAAACUCCAAUGGUUUUCCGCAACUACCAACCAAUUUAGUGGAUCCUUUCCAGGAAGUUUCAAGGACUGCUGCUCCUUAAUCAUCCUCGACAUCAUGUAUAAUCAGAUGGAUGGAGAUAUAGCACAACAGCUUGGGGUGUACCCACAUCUGAAAUUUGUUGGGUUAACUUCAAACAAACUGCACGGUCAGCUUUCAACAGACUGGGGUUCAUGCGGUAACUUGACAGAACUGCGUUUAGGAGGAAACAUGAUUACUGGUCAUAUACCUCGUGAGCUCACAAAGCUAACCAAACUCAGAAAACUCGACCUCCAUUUGAAUAGGUUGACAGGGGAGAUACCUCCUGAAAUUGGCAAACUAGUCAACCUAUAUUUGCUAGACUUGAGCCAAAAUAAUAUAUCUGGAUGCAUUCCUCAAAACAUUGGUCAAAUGGAUGCUCUUGAGGUUCUCGACCUGUCAAGCAAUCAACUAGAUGGAAGAAUACCAGAAGAAGUUGGGAAAUGUGCGAGACUACAGUCCAUGAAACUGAACAACAACAGCUUAAACGGCAGCCUUCCUGGUUCCAUAGGCAAACUGAUUCACCUACAGACAACCCUUGAUGUCAGCCAUAACAGCCUACAUGGUGCCAUUCCUCCAGAAAUAGGAAAUCUAGAUAUGUUGGUAAGCAUAAACCUCUCCCACAAUCAAUUCAGUGGAAGCAUUCCAGACACGGUAGCAGGACUCCGAAGCAUGUCCGUAUUUGAUGUGUCCUACAACAGAUUACAAGGCACAGUUCCGGGAAGGAUCCAUAAUUCCUCGGCAGAAUGGUUUAUUCACAAUAGAGGUCUCUGCGGGGAGCUGGCUGGCCUUCCGUCUUGUCAUUCUUCUGCUGCAAAUCAUCAGAAAAAGAACCAAAUCUUCAUGUUAAAAGUGGGUAUCCCUGUUUUUGUGGCUAUUACUUGUAUAGCUGCAUGCAUCUUCUUCACUUUGAUUUUGAGGAAGAAAUCCUCUUCUAGAGAAAGUGCCAUUGUAAAGAGAGCGGACCUCUUCUCCAUAUGGAACUUCGAUGGUAAAAUAGCUUUUGAGGAUAUCAUCAAUGCAACGGAUAAUUUUGAUGAAAAACAUUGCAUUGGAAGGGGGGGAUUUGGUAAUGUCUACAAGGUGGAUCUCCCAGAUGGACAAGUGGUUGCAGUGAAGAAGCUUCAUCCUAUUGAGGAAGGGAUGCAUGAUGAGCAAUGCUUUCGUCGUGAGAUUGAAGUACUAACAAAAGUCCGUCAGCGCAGCAUUGUCAAGCUGUAUGGAUUCUGUUCCCAUACGCAGUACAGGUUCCUGGUUUGCCAAUACAUAGAAAGGAGGAGUCUAGCCUCAAUCCUGAGCAACAACGACCAAGCAAUCCAAUUUGAUUGGCAGAAAAGAGCAGUUCUCAUCAAGGAUGUUGCGCAAGCUAUUUCCUACCUACACCAUGGUUGUGAUCCACCUAUAAUCCAUCGGGACAUAACAAGUAGCAACAUUUUGCUAGAUUCUGAAUACAAUGCCUUUGUCUCGGACUUUGGCACGGCAAGGAUAUUGAAGCCCGAUUCAUCGAACUGGACCGCACUGGCGGGGACAUACGGCUACAUCGCACCAGAACUUUCUUACACGCCCUUGGUCACCGAGAAAUGCGAUGUCUACAGCCUCGGCGUUGUGAUGCUGGAGGUGCUGAUGGGGAAGCAUCCAGGAGAAUUCCUAAACAGACCUGCAGCUGCGCAAGAACAAGACAUGAUACUUCAAGAGCAUCUCGACCACCGUCUUCCCACGCCCAAGACCGACGAGGCGCGGGAUAUCAAUCGGCUAAUAUCGGUGGCGUUUCAGUGCCUACAAGAUUCCCCUCAUGAGAGGCCAGACACGCAGCAGAUCCAUCGAGCUCUCGGUGUAUGA
rnacentral:rRNA from 1 species